rnacentral:rRNA from 1 species
UUGGAGGGCAAGUCUGGUGCCAGCAGCCGCGGUAAUUCCAGCUCCAAUAGCGUAUAUUAAAGUUGUUGCAGUUAAAAAGCUCGUAGUUGAACCUUAGGCCCGUGCGGGUGGUCCGUCCUCUGGGCGAGCACUGCGUCGUCGCGGGUCUCACCUUCUGGCGAGCGUGGAUGCCAUUCACUUGGUGUCCGCGGGAACCAGGACCUUUACCUUGAAAAAAUUAGAGUGCUCAAAGCGGGCUCGUACGCUUGAAUACAUUAGCAUGGAAUAAUGAAAUAGGACGACGGUUCUAUUUUGUUGGUUUCCGGGACAGUCGUAAUGAUUAAUAGGGAUAGUUGGGGGGCAUUAGUAUUCAAUUGUCAGAGGUGAAAUUCUUGGAUUUAUUGAAGACUAACUACUGCGAAAGCAUUUGCCAAGGAUGUUUUCA